CCCUGAGCGGCGACGCUUGAGCUGGUGCUUGUGGGGCUCGCUGUCCUUCUCCAUUACCCCUCAACGAGGCACCAGCCAGACCUCUUCCCUACCCCAUACACACACACUGCAUGAACCUCAUUCAUGAUGGACUGAGCAAAAUCGGCUGGCCGGGGUUCAGGCCGCCCACAGACCCCAAGAGGCCCUGUCAUUCGUGGCUCACUGGCCCUCAUGAGGAAUGUGCCCGCACCUCCUUUAGCUGCCUCUGGAGUGCACGAAGAUCUGUUAGGGGGAACCCUAAUUCUGCUCUUCCAGGAGUUUCUGCUUUUCCUGAAAAACUGCAUCUCUUCUUGCACUCCCUUCUGGGAGGGCCUCAUCCAAGACUGAAUACGUCAGGCGAGGUUUUCACAGAUGAAGAGGUUGAGGCCCAGAUCAGAGAGAACUUCAUAGCAAAGCAAGAACAAAAGAAUGAAAAAUGAAAAAAUUUGAGCAGUACAACUCAAGAAGUCUACAAUCAAGCCCAGUAGGUGUAUGAAUUCUGAAGGCACAGCUUCAUCAAAGUAAUGUGCUCACCCUUAUAAAUGAUAAGAUUUUAUGACUGAAUCCUGGCCGAAUUAUACAAGCAAGAAAGACAAAAGAGAAUAUAAGCAAAUGGGACUCCAUCAAACCAAAAAGCUUCUGCACAGCAAAAGAAAUUAUCAACUUCCAUGUGGAAGAAAGUCAGAAGAGUACUCCAAAGUGUAUGGUCAAGAAAAUUGGAAACCACUUACGAGCUUGAGAAAACAAUUUUGUCAGAAAUAUGCAAGUGCUUACAAUUUGGAAGGAGAGAUAAAGUAACUUCAAAACAGCCAUUUUUCAGUUACUCAAGGCCAAGCUGACGAGUAAACAGAAUGUAUUGAAGAGAGCUCAUAUCUAAUUGUUACAAAAAUAAGAAACCUCAGAGAGGCAAAGGAAUAUCUUUACCCCGUACCAUGAAAAACGAGAAGAUCAAGUGAUGCUAAGCUUUAGCAGGGGCCUCUGUGGUGGCGCAGCGGAUUGAGCACAGUGCUGGGAAACUGUCCGCAGCCUCUGCAACACGGGUUCGAUUCCUGGCUGGCCAGGAAGAGUACCACAUGGCGCAGCAGACCUCUCCCAUCUUGCCCACUGCUCCCCUCAGCAGUGAAUUUCAGUCAGUCAGCCUGUUCUGCUCCCUACUCUGUCCCUGGUGAAUCCUCUCACCCUCCACAUCUCUGGC